rnacentral:rRNA from 1 species
UUGGAGGGCACGUCUGGUGCCAGCAGCCGCGGUAAUUCCAGCUCCAAUAGCGUAUAUUAAAGUUGUUGCAGUUAAAAAGCUCGUAGUUGAACUUCGGGAUCAAGGAAUCGGUCAUGCCUUGGUAUGUACCGGUUUUAUUGGUUCUCACCUUCUAAAGAACCAUAAUGUCAUUCAUUUGAUGUUAUGGGGAAUUAGGACUGUUACCUUGAAAAAAUUAGAGUGUUUAAAGCAAGCUUACGCUUGAAUACAUUAGCAUGGAAUAAUGAAAUAGGACAUCCGAUUCUAUUUUGUUGGUUUCUAGGAUCGAUGUAAUGAUUAAUAGGGAUAGUUGGGGGCAUUAGUAUUCAAUUGUCAGAGGUGAAAUUCUUGGAUUUAUUGAAGACUAACUACUGCGAAAGCAUUUGCCAAGGAUGUUUUCAUUAAUCAAGAACGAAAGUUAGGGGAUCGAAGACGAUCAGAUACCGUCGUAGUCUUAACCAUAAACUAUGCCGACUAGGGAUCGGAUGAUGUUAAUUUUAUAAUGACUCACUCGGCACCUUACGGGAAACCAAAGUGUUUGGGUUC